rnacentral:rRNA from 1 species
UACGGGGGGGGCAAGCGUUGUUCGGAAUUACUGGGCGUAAAGGGUUUGUAGGCGGCUUGUUAAGUCGGACGUGAAAUCCCUCAGCUUAACUGGGGAACUGCGUCUGAUACUGGCGAGCUUGAGUGCAGGAGAGGAACGCGGAAUUCCAGGUGUAGCGGUGAAAUGCGUAGAUAUCUGGAGGAACACCGGUGGCGAAGGCGGCAUCCUGGACCGGUAUUGACGCUGAGGCGCGAAAGCUAGGGGAGCAAACGGG